rnacentral:rRNA from 1 species
CAUGUCUAAGUAUACGCAAUUAUACCGCGAAACUGCGAAUGGCUCAUUAAAUCAGUUAUCGUUUAUUUGAUAGUACCUUACUACAUGGAUAACCGUGGUAAUUCUAGAGCUAAUACAUGCUAAAAAUCCCGACUUCGGAAGGGAUGUAUUUAUUAGGAUUAAAAACCAAUGCCCUCCGGGGCUCUCUGGUGAUUCAUAAUAACUUCUCGAAUCGCACGGCCUUGCGCCGGCGAUGGUUCAUUCAAAUUUCUGCCCUAUCAACUUUCGACGGCUGGGUCUUGGCCAGCCAUGGUGACAACGGGUAACGGAGGGUUAGGGCUCGACCCCGGAGAAGGAGCCUGAGAAACGGCUACUACAUCCAAGGAAGGCAGCAGGCGCGCAAAUUACCCAAUCCCGACUCGGGGAGGUAGUGACAAUAAAUACUGAUACAGGGCUCUUUUGGGUCUUGUAAUUGGAAUGAGUACAAUUUAAAUCCCUUAACGAGGAACAAU